CCACCACAUAAAGCCCUACAUCCUAGAGGUAUCGACGCUUUUACUAGAGCUGCUCAAACUCAAAAUCAAUCAUCGGAAACUUCAUCGAGGGAUAAAGACGAGCAUUUAGCACUUAAAGCGGGAUUAAGAAAAGUUAAGAUCUUCAAGGAGUACGUCUCGAUUAAAAGAUGCAAAAAAGCCUCCGGCGAGGAUGAUAAUGAAAUUAGCGAAAGCAGGAGUGACGAAGGUGACUAUUCCAAUUCCAAUCUUGUUGACUCUGAAUCAGGCGAUGAUUCCGAUGAGAGUGAGCGUUGCUCACCGGAAAAUGACCUGACCGCUUCGAGUUCUUCCAAGUUCUGAUCUUCUUGCCAUUCGCCAACUAAGUCUGAGACGUAAAGCAGGUCUGACAACCGACGGUAUCAGCUCUCCGAGGCUCCGACUGCACCUCGCCGCCUCCGCCUACAACUUCGUCUGCAGCAGGUCCGCCUCCCUCUUUGAUAAGCCUACAACACCAUUGGAGCAAUGUGAGUGGCUCAACAAGCUCUAAGCUCUUAAUUGAAGUUUGGACCGAUUUCAUUAGUCCUAAGCUUUCACUCAAAUCCCCAUCCAUUGUUGAGAAGCUGAUGCUUGAAGAACGGGCCACGAAAUUUAAACGACGCCUCUUAGCAACAUUAUUCUUUUAGAAUAAAUUAGUGUAUUUGUUAGAUUUUGAUGUUUUUUUUCCGAUUUGACAGUUUCUUAGUGUUAUUCUUUAACAACAACAAUUGUUACAUGUAUUCUAUAAGAAUUAAUAUAAUUUUUGUUUUAAUUCUUCAA